CUGGGAUCUCCUGAUUGGCGCCCUCUGCCUAUAUAAGGUCAGGAUGUGCAACGCUGGGGUCAGAGUCCUACCUUCUCCUGAGCUCUGACGCUUUCCUCUCUGUGCUCCCUGCUGAUCCAUUCACCAGCAUGAAGGUCCUGGCGUUGAUGGUCCUGGUGGCAGUCUCCACCUUCCUGGUCUCAGGCAAGAGCACAUUAGAUACUUCAUUUGAUACUGUUGCCUCUAAUGCCACCACUGCAGCUCCUGCUACAAUGACCCUUGACUUUCAAACUGCCCAUCAAGCCCGUGUCGUCAGCUGGUGGAAGAAAUUGCUAAGUUGAAAUAUUACUAUCAUGGAAUUAGACUGGGCCAUCUGCAUUUGAUCCUGCUGGGCUCAGCCUCAAACUCUCUUCGUUUGAUUUCAUUGAGCUACUUACCAAGUCUACCAUAUCUCUCUGAUCCCUGAUCAGUUUAUCUGUUUUCUUUCUUUCUUUUUUUUUUUUAGUUUAUCUGUUUUCAAUUAAAAUUUAACUUUGAGCAACAUCAAAAAUUGUAUAUUUUUAAGAGGUUGCAGUGUGGUUGUCCAAGGAUUAAGU
rnacentral:lncRNA from 12 species